AGGUAAUGCCUACUGAACCUCUACCACCGUAGGCACUCGAUUAUGCUGUGGGCAUCCGUCAAACAGGAUGGCUUAGACGUUCAUCGUCGAUGGCGUAAAGUGAGGAAGGGUUAGAUGCCCU
rfam:Paenibacillus sp. Y412MC10, complete genome.